GACGAACGCUGGCGGCGUGCUUAGCACAUGCAAGUCGAACGGAAAGGCCCUGCUUUUGUGGGGUGCUCGAGUGGCGAACGGGUGAGUAACACGUGAGUAACCUGCCCUUGACUUUGGGAUAACUUCAGGAAACUGGGGCUAAUACCGGAUAGGAGCUCCUGCUGCAUGGUGGGGGUUGGAAAGUUUCGGCGGUUGGGGAUGGACUCGCGGCUUAUCAGCUUGUUGGUGGGGUAGUGGCUUACCAAGGCUUUGACGGGUAGCCGGCCUGAGAGGGUGACCGGCCACAUGGGGACUGAGAUACGGCCCAGACUCCUACGGGAGGCAGCAGUGGGGAAUAUUGCACAAUGGGCGGAAGCCUGAUGUAGCAACGCCGCGUGCGGGAUGACGGCCUUCGGGUGGUAAACCGCUUUCGCCUGUGACGAAGCGUGAGUGACGGUAAUGGGGAAAGAAGCACCGGCUAACUACGU
rnacentral:rRNA from 1 species